rnacentral:rRNA from 1 species
UACGUAGGGGGCAAGCGUUGUCCGGAUUUAUUGGGCGUAAAGAGCGUGUAGGCGGCCAGACAAGUCUGCUGUGAAAACUCGAGGCUCAACCUCGAGCUGUCGGUGGAAACUGUCUGGCUAGAGUCCGGAAGAGGAGAGUGGAAUUCCUGGUGUAGCGGUGAAAUGCGUAGAUAUCGGGAGGAACAUCAGUGGCGAAGGCGGCUGCCUGGCCCAAUACUGACACUCAGGUGCGACAGCGUGGGGAGCAAACAGG